UACGUAGGGUGCGAGCGUUGUCCGGAAUUAUUGGGCGUAAAGGGCUCGUAGGCGGUUUGUCGCGUCGGGAGUGAAAACCAUGGGCUUAACUCAUGGCUUGCUUCCGAUACGGGCAGACUAGAGGUAUGCAGGGGAGAACGGAAUUCCUGGUGUAGCGGUGAAAUGCGCAGAUAUCAGGAGGAACACCGGUGGCGAAGGCGGUUCUCUGGGCAUUACCUGACGCUGAGGAGCGAAAGUGUGGGGAGCGAGCAGG
rnacentral:rRNA from 1 species